rnacentral:rRNA from 1 species
AGACCACCAGCUAAGGUCCCAAAAUAUAUGUUAAGUGGAAAAGGAUGUGGCGUUGCCCAGACAACUAGGAUGUUGGCUUAGAAGCAGCCAUCAUUUAAAGAGUGCGUAAUAGCUCACUAGUCGAGUGACACUGCGCCGAAAAUGUACCGGGGCUAAACAUAUUACCGAAGCUGUGGAUUGUCCUUUGGACAAUGGUAGGAGAGCGUUCUAAGGGCGUUGAAGCAUGAUCGUAAGGACAUGUGGAGCGCUUAGAAGUGAGAAUGCCGGUGUGAGUAGCGAAAGACGGGUGAGAAUCCCGUCCACCGAUUGACUAAGGUUUCCAGAGGAAGGCUCGUCCGCUCUGGGUUAGUCGGGUCCUAAGCUGAGGCCGACAGGCGUAGGCGAUGGAUAACAGGUUGAUAUUCCUGUACCACCUAUAAUCGUUUUAAUCGAUGGGGGGACGCAGUAGGAUAGGCGAAGCGUGCGAUUGGAUUGCACGUCUAAGCAGUAAGGCUGAGUAUUAGGCAAAUCCGGUACUCGUUAAGGCUGAGCUGUGAUGGGGAGAAGACAUUGUGUCUUCGAGUCGUUGAUUUCACACUGCCGAGAAAAGCCUCUAGAUAGAAAAUAGGUGCCCGUACCGCAAACCGACACAGGUAGUCAAGAUGAGAAUUCUAAGGUGAGCGAGCGAACUCUCGUUAAGGAACUCGGCAAAAUGACCCCGUAACUUCGGGAGAAGGGGUGCUCUUUAGGGUUAACGCCCAGAAGAGCCGCAGUGAAUAGGCCCAAGCGACUGUUUAUCAAAAACACAGGUCUCUGCUAAACCGUAAGGUGAUGUAUAGGGGCUGACGCCUGCCCGGUGCUGGAAGGUUAAGAGGAGUGGUUAGCUUCUGCGAAGCUACGAAUCGAAGCCCCAGUAAACGGCGGCCGUAACUAUAACGGUCCUAAGGUAGCGAAAUUCCUUGUCGGGUAAGUUCCGACCCGCACGAAAGGCGUAACGAUUUGGGCACUGUCUCAACGAGAGACUCGGUGAAAUCAUAGUACCUGUGAAGAUGCAGGUUACCCGCGACAGGACGGAAAGACCCCGUGGAGCUUUACUGUAGCCUGAUAUUGAAAUUCGGCACAGCUUGUACAGGAUAGGUAGGAGCCUUUGAAACGUGAGCGCUAGCUUACGUGGAGGCGCUGGUGGGAUACUACCCUAGCUGUGUUGGCUUUCUAACCCGCACCACUUAUCGUGGUGGGAGACAGUGUCAGGCGGGCAGUUUGACUGGGGCGGUCGCCUCCUAAAAGGUAACGGAGGCGCUCAAAGGUUUCCUCAGAAUGGUUGGAAAUCAUUCAUAGAGUGUAAAGGCAUAAGGGAGCUUGACUGCGAGACCUACAAGUCGAGCAGGGUCGAAAGACGGACUUAGUGAUCCGGUGGUUCCGCAUGGAAGGGCCAUCGCUCAACGGAUAAAAGCUACCCCGGGGAUAACAGGCUUAUCUCCCCCAAGAGUUCACAUCGACGGGGAGGUUUGGCACCUCGAUGUCGGCUCAUCGCAUCCUGGGGCUGUAGUCGGUCCCAAGGGUUGGGCUGUUCGCCCAUUAAAGCGGUACGCGAGCUGGGUUCAGAACGUCGUGAGACAGUUCGGUCCCUAUCCGUCGUGGGCGUAGGAAAUUUGAGAGGAGCUGUCCUUAGUACGAGAGGACCGGGAUGGACAUACCUCUGGUGUACCAGUUGUCGUGCCAACGGCAUAGCUGGGUAGCUAUGUGUGGACGGGAUAAGUGCUGAAAGCAUCUAAGCAUGAAGCCCCCCUCAAGAUGAGAUUUCCCAACUUCGGUUAUAAGAUCCCUCAAAGAUGAUGAGGUUAAUAGGUUCGAGGUGGAAGCAUGGUGACAUGUGGAGCUGACGAAUACUAAUCGAUCGAAGACUUAAUCAA